rnacentral:rRNA from 1 species
GACGUAGGGCGCGAGCGUUGUCCGGAUUUAUUGGGCGUAAAGAGCUCGUAGGCGGCUUGUCGCGUCGACUGUGAAAUCCCGAGGCUCAACCUCGGGCCUGCAGUGGGUACGGGCAGACUAGAGUGCGGUAGGGGAGAUUGGAAUUCCUGGUGUAGCGGUGGAAUGCGCAGAUAUCAGGAGGAACACCGAUGGCGAAGGCAGAUCUCUGGGCCGUAACUGACGCUGAGGAGCGAAAGCGUGGGGAGCAAACAGG